rnacentral:rRNA from 1 species
CCUACGGGUGGCAGCAGUGGGGGAUAUUGCACAAUGGGGGAAACCCUGAUGCAGCGACGCCGCGUGUGGGAAGACGGUCCUCUGGAUUGUAAACCACUGUCGCCAGGGACGAAGAUGACGGUACCGGGGGAGGAAGCGCCGGCUAACUACGUGCCCGCAGCCGCGGUAAGAAGUAGGGAGCGAGCGUGGUCCGGAAUUACUGGGUGUAAAGGGAGCGGAGGCGGGACUUCAAGUUGGGUGUCAAAUCUACCGGCUCAACCGGUAGCCGCACUCCAAACUGCAGUUCUUGAGUGAAGUAGCGGCAGGCGGAAUUCCUAUUGUAGCCGUGACAUGCGUAGAUAUUAG